GGGGGUUUCACAGUUUUAGCCAGGAUGGUCUUGAUAUCCUGACCUCAUGAUCCGCCCACCUCGGCCUCCCAAAGUGCUGGGAUUACAGGCAUGAGCCACCGCGCCCGGCCUAUCCCAUUCCUUUUCAUCCCCAGAGGAAACCAUUGCAGUAGAGAAUGACUAUUUCAGUCCCAUCACUAAGUUCAUAAGGUGUCUUUUCUGGUCCUGGAAAGGUGACAGCUAAGGGUCUUUUUGAGUGUUAGAUUGGGGCAAUGUCACUAGCACAGUUGAGACCCUGUAGCCAACAGCAGCAGAUUUUCUCUGAAAGUUAGAAUGGGGGUUUUAAAGCUCUAUGGGUGUUGAGUUGAUCUCUUUCACAUUCUGGUUAUGCUUUUUUUUUUUUUUUUUUACAGAUUGUUCAAACCAGAUGUGGUUAACAGUUUUUCCACCCAUCUCCCUUAGGGUACAUUCAAGUGCAUCUUACAGAAUAAUUAUCUCUGCUGUGUCACCCAGGCAAGCCAUGUAACCAUGAUUCAUACCAUAUAUUUGUGUAAUACUUAAUCAGACAGUAAGCCUUGUAUUGCUGGGCAGUUCUUUUUAUCUAAGUAAAUCCAGCCUCCGCAGACACCGUAUAGGCACCUGAUGGUGAGGCUUAUAGACUCUUCCCUUUCCUUUCCUUCCCCAGCUACUCUGUGAGUCUGUCCCACAGUGGAAGUACAGAACCAAACAGAAGACAGAGUUGAAUGGAAUUCCUCCUACUUAAGAAGAAGCAAGAGCAAACCACAUCCAUCCACCUGAAGUGACUGGCAGGCAAGGCAAUUUCAAUCCUGAAAAGAAGAGAGGAACCAAGGACACCUUGAAAGAGAUGGUGGGUAGACGGGAUCUCGCUAUGUUGCCCAGGCUGGUCUCAAGCUUCUGGCCUCAAGUGAUCCUCUCAUAUUGGACUCUCAAACUGCUGGCAUCACAGGUAUGAGUCAUUGCCCUGGCCGGCUGUGGCAAUUUUAAAAAUAAGACAGCAAUGAAGUUUGCCGCAUCAAUUGACUUUUCCUUUCGUGAAAGAUUUCUCUGUUGCAAACAAUAUUUGUUUGACAGCAUUUUACCUACAGUAAAACUUUUUUCAAAAUG